rnacentral:lncRNA from 1 species
CGCAGGCGCGCCUAGGAGUGGCCGCGAAGCUAGUCCCCAAACAAAGCUGGAGCCAAUGCGCUCUCUGGGGUCCUUCACAUCCUGCUACUCAACGACCUGAAGGUACCAGGUGGAUACUUGAGUGCUAAGCUGGUUGUCCUUGGGCCCUUCAUGCCAGGCUCCCAGAGGCCCUGCACUCUGAACAUCAGGCAAUGCCUCUCUAUGAUACAUAGCUUUAAUCAGCAGCAAAAUAAAAUGGGGCUCAUUGAAUAAGGCUUACAAAGAUGAUGAGCUCCUGCCUGGGUUUGCACUGCCUGCUGUGCGGACGAGCCGCAUCUGUGGACUCCUCCUUAGUCAGACCAAGCUGCCAUCUUUACCUUGGCUCCAAAGGUGACCUAUGAGCUGCCACACCUACUCUAGGAAUGCCCAGCAAAGUCCUGACUUGGCAACAGGGACCAGGGAUAGAGACUUUGACACAUCUCCGGUGACUCUUCUGGAAAGGAGUGGAAGAUCUGCCGGUGAGCAAUAGAAGCGUCACACCCCGGUUCCCAAACCCAGCCCUAGACAUUCUGGUGCCAAGAGGUGUCACUUCCUGGCAAAGGUGAAGGGAGGGUCAGUUUCUCCCUGCUGUUCCUGAUUCCAUCAGCUCUUGACCCACAGAGCAAACAUGUGCCCAGCCUCUGCAGCGACAACCAGGUGUUCUCCUGGACUCACCCUGGCCCAGAUCCGCUCGGUGGAGUUGGCAUCUGCUGUGAGCCUCCCAUUUGAUUUGACGGUUUCCAUUUAGUAGGUAUUUGUAGAUGCAGCCAGUCCUUUGAAGAAUUAUUAUGCUCAUAAAGUGCAGAGAAAAUGGUAUAGCCCUGCCUACUUCUCAGUUUUCUGAGGCUCAGGAAUCAGCACGUUGUUUUCCUGAUUUCGCUCUAGGCUUUCUUCACUCCCGUAAUGAGCAGUAGGGGUCACUGUGUAGCCACAGAACGCCUCCACGAGGCUCCAGAAAUCUAACUCCACCUACCUCUGGGCUGGACCAGAACACUUGGAUGAAACGGCCACGUCACCACAUCUUCACAAAGUCAGGGGACACAUUUAGCAGGAUCUUUUCUGAUUGAAAUGAUCAAUGGCUAUUUCUAUGUUGCUGAAGUGAAAAUGAAUAUAGUGGUUUGGGUUGGAAUCACUAUGUUGAUAUAAUACAUAUAUAGUGAUAUAAAUGACUAUAUUGAUAUAAAUGAUAUUGCCACCAACUCGUUAUGCUCCUGAAUUUCCUCAAUUAGUUUGAAAAUUGGUCCAUUUUCCCCAAAUAAGCUUAGAAUACAGUUUUGUUUUGUUUUAGACAGAGUCUUGCUCUGUUGCACAAGCUGGAGUGCAGUGGUGCAAUCUUGGCUCACUGCAACCUCUGCCUCCCGGGUUCAAGCGAUUCUCCUGCCUCAGCCUCCCAAGUAGCUGGGAUUAUAGGCAUAUGCCACCACAUCCGGCUAAUUUUUAUUUUUCGGAGAGAUGGAGUUUCACCAUGUUGGCCAGCCUGGAUACGAAC